AGUGAACGCUGGCGGUAGGCCUAACACAUGCAAGUCGAACGGCAGCGCAGUCAGAGCUUGCUCUUACGGGUGGCGACUGGCGGGCGGUUGAGGGGUACAUCGGCAUCUACUUUUUCGUGGGGGAUGACGGAGGGAAACAUACGCUAAUACAGCAUACGACCUACGGGUGAAAGCAUGGGAUCUUCGGACCUUGCGCGAGUGAAUGAGCCGAUGUCGGAUUAGCUAGUUGGCGGGGUAAAGGCCCACCAAGGCGACGAUCUGUAGCUGGUCUGAGAGGAUGACCAGCCACACUGGAACUGAGACACGGCCCAGACUCCUACGGGAGGCAGCAGUGGGGAAUAUUGGACAAUGGGCGCAAGCCUGAUCCAGCCAUACCGCGUGUGUGAAGAAGGCCUUCGGGUUGUAAAGCCCUUUUGUCGGGAAAGAAAAGCAGCAUGUUAAUACCACGCUGUUCUGACGGUACCCAAAGAAUAAGCACCGGCUAACUUCGUG
rnacentral:rRNA from 1 species